GCCGGUUUUCCGGAAGUAGCACUGCCGCCAUCUUGGUUGUAGUCAAGUGGUAAACGAAAACACUGCAGUCCCCGCUGGUUCAGUGCUGCGCACAAGCUCCCCGGACAACUCUGCGACUCCACCACCAAGAAAAGUUCGUCAUUUCCAUGUAGUGCUGUGCCAUGGCACCUGGACUACACGAACACAACAGUCAAGGGUGGACCCGCAAAGCAAGGGCACUGAACCCAUUCUUUGCAAAAGAGCACAUUGUCAGGUACACUGAAAGCAAAGGCGCUCUAAAACAUCGAGGUGCUGGCCUACGGCUCUUUACAUCAGGCCAC
rnacentral:lncRNA from 1 species